AUGCAGACCACUCGAGGGGCAGAUCAACAUUGCCCCAUUCUCGCCGGUCCUACCUGUCAGUGCUCUCCCAUGGCGAACUCCCAGCCCUCCUCCUGGCUCGCCGCCGUGGCGACCAAUGCCGCCGCCAGGCCAGCCAUCCUCCACCGCGCCCACGCCGCCCUCAUCACCUCUGGCCACCUAUCCUCCUGCACCUCCGUUAACUCCCUCCUCCGCGCCGCUCGCAUCCCCGCUGCCUGCGCCCUUCUCCUCCGCUUCCUCCUCCUCCACCGCCUCCCGCCCGACCACCUCUCCCUCUCCUUCUCCCUCCACUCCUGCACCCGCUCCCCCAGCCUCCCCGUCGCAAGCCUCCUCCACUCGUUCGCCUUCAGGCUUGGCCAUGCCCGCGACGUCUACGUCCUCAAUGCUGCCGUCUCCGCCUACUUCAGGGCCACCGACGUCGCCUCCGCCGAGCGGCUCUUCUCCUACACAAAGGAUGUCGCCGACGUUGUCACCUGGACCACCAUGGUCACCGGGCAUGCCAACGCCGGCGACGUUGCGCGUGCGAGGUGGUUCUUCGACGCCAUGCCUGAGAGGAACGUGGUUUCCUGGAACGCGAUGCUGGGCGCCUACGCAUCCGCCGGGAUGCUGUCCAAGGCGCGGAAGGUGUUCGAUACAAUGCCCAGCCGGAAUGCCGCCUCGUGGAGCUCGAUGGUUACUGGGCUCGUGCAGUCCAAUCAGUGUGAGGAGGCGUUGAGGGUGUUCAGUGAAAUGGUCGGGACGGGUGUCGUGCCGAAUGAGGCUGCACUGGUGAGCGCUGUCUCAGCGUGCUCUCUGCUGCGGUCGAUAGAGCACGGCAUGUGGGUACAUGCGUAUGCCAAGCGGGAGCUGAAUGGGAUGAGCGUCAUCCUCGCGACAGCGAUUGUUGACAUGUAUGGUAAAUGUGGGGGUAUCCAUAAUGCCGUCAGGGUGUUUGCUGCAAUGCCUGUGAAAAACAUCUACUCGUGGAACUCGAUGAUUACUGGACUCGCCAUGAACGGCAGGGAAAUGCAGGCCUUGUCACUCUUCUGGAAGAUGCAGAUGGCUGGUGUUCGACCAAAUGAUAUAACCUUCAUCGGGUUGCUGGGUGCUUGUAGCCACUCAGGUCUCGUUGAUGAGGGCCGCUGGUUGUUCAACAAGAUGGUUAAUGGCUUUGGAAUCCAGCCACUCCAAGAGCACUACGGCCUAAUGGUUGAUUUACUCGGUCGGGCGGGUCAUGUUAGGGAGGCAGUGGAUUUUGUCAACAGCAUGCCGGUGGAGCCGCAUCCGGGCUUGUGGGGUGCGCUUGCUGGCGCCUGCAAGAUCCAUGGUGAGGUGGAGCUUGGUGAGGAGAUUGCCAAGAAGCUCAUUGAACUGGAGCCCCGUCAUGGUAGCCGGUACAUCCUCCUGUCAAACAUAUAUGGUGCAUCAAACAGAUGGGAUGACAUGGCCACUGUGCGCAGGCUCCUUAAGGAGCGCAAGGUCCCCAAGGGCACUGGCAAUGCCAUGGUUGGUAAUGAUGGUCAGUCUAUGAAAUCCAUGCUAGGUUAG
rnacentral:rRNA from 1 species